AAGAUGGACUACAGGACAGGGCUGCUGCUUUUAACUGUCUGCUGGGCAGGUGUUGAUGCUCAGACUCUGACAGAAUCUGAACCAGUGGUUAAAAGGCCUGGAGAAUCCCACAAACUGACCUGUACAGCCUCUGGAUUCACAUUCAGUAGCUACGGUAUGGCCUGGGUCAGACAGGCUCCUGGAAAAGGACUGGAGUGGAUUGCUGCUAUCAGUGGCAGUGGUAGCAGCACUUACUACUCUCAGUCAGUCCAAGGCCGGUUUACCAUCUCCAGAGACAACAGCAGACAGCAGCUGUAUCUGCAGAUGAACAGUCUGAGCACUGAAGAUUCUGCUGUUUAUUAUUGUGCUCGAGACUCACAGUGACUGGAGUUGGUUCAGCAGCUGUACAAAAACCUACUGUCCUCAUCUUUACCACAAUUAUCUCACAUGAUUAAUGUCCAUAGUUCAAGUAGCUCAAGAAAAUGAUAGAAUAAAGUUACACCAAACACUUUGGGAACCAAUGAUAGAAAUAUUAAUAGAAAAAUAUUUUUAAACAGAGAUACAAAUGUAGAAAUCAUAUUAUUAGAAAGGCAUCUUGCUUAACAGAGCUUCAUUAAAACGACUCCUCGACUGAG